AGAGCAUUCAAGUGAGCAAAGAGAGUUUGGAGAAAAUAAUAUUUAUUUUCUCAUUUGUGAGCCUUUUGUAACUCUUUGGGUUUUGAUAUUAGUACAUUGAUCUUGAGCUCCCGUGGACGUAGGCGCACAUUGCCGAACCACGUAAAUCUUUGUCUUCCUUUUGUGUGUGUGUUUUCUCCUAUUUAUUUAUUUAUUAUUUUGUGAGUGUAUUCUUCUUGUGUGUGAUCACAACCACCAUUAUUUAUUUGUUGGGCCCACGCUUCCGCUCAACAGUGGACAGGGACCGGAAUCAACAAAGGAGAUGGACGAGAUUCUGCAACAGAAUGCAUAUUGGUUUGUUUCUCGGAUAGUGAUAAUCUAUUUAGAAGAGGGAUACAAGAGAGUACCACCAAAACAAUGUCUUUGAGAAGAUCUAAUAGAAGGUUGCACAAGGCUUGCGUAAAACAAGAAGAGCCCAUUAAUGCAAUGUGGUUGAAGAGCUGAGAAUAGGAAUUGAACCAUCUCAAAUGAGGUGGUGUGUUUAUUAGAGAUUCAAGCAAUAAAAGGAUGGACCAUCCUUGACCAGUGACAUGGGAAAAGAGUUGUUAUGUAUAGAAUGGUGUCACUUGUAAUAGAUAUAUAUAUAUAUAUAUAUAUAUAUAUAUAUGUAAUGGACAGGUUCAACUUGCAAUAUGGUUAAGAGGUCUAAAUCCGUUGCUAAAAAGAAUUGCAAUAAUGAGCUGUGGUGUGUCGUGUGGUCCAUUAUUGAGGUGUCGUCAAUGAUAAAAAUAAUAAAUGAAUAAAUUGGUUAAACAAAGAAAAAGAUCAGCCAUUUCAAUUUGGUUAGAAAGAUGCCUCAGUUCUACCAAGAAUUUCCUUAAAUGAUAAAUUUUUAUUUUUAUCAGUAAAUGAUAAGAGUUUUUGGCCCUGCUUGGAUUGAAUCUAAGAAAAUAGUUUUGUUUUUAUAGUGACAAAAAAUAGAAAACAGUAUUUACUUCUGCUUAGAUCUACUUUGUGGAAACAGUUUUUGCAAAAACUAAAAACUGAUAGUUAUAGUUUUUGGAGAACAAUAAAAAAGUGUUCCGGGAGUUUUCGGAAACAAGAAGGCGCACUCUUUGAAAACACGGAGAACUCUUUUCACUUAAAAAGAACGGGAGUAAGAUAUCUAGUUAUAUAACAUUACCCACAUCUCCUCAGCUGCACCUAGUGUUCUCUUUCUUCGAGGCUUGAAGCUCUCUCACUCUGACAGAUUUCUUUGCAAAGUCUCUCUUCAAGCUAUCUCUCUCUCAGUUUCUUGGGCUUCUCUUAGGCAGAAAAGGUCGAUCAGCGUUUCUCUUCCUACAAUCAUCUUUCUGUGCGGGCACUUAUCCCGAAAAUAAGCUAACUCAGCCAAAUAAGAGCAGAAAUGAAGCAAUUUUGGGAUAAAUCAAAGAAAUGAGCCAAGUGGAAGCAAAAGGAAGAAAAAGGUAGAAAUCAACAUCUUCGAUCGAUCUCAGAUUAAAGUUCGAUCGAUCCAAUAUGAUCGAUCUCAGCACUUCAAGAUGGAUCAGAGCCAUGAUGACAUUUUCAGAGAACUCAAAAGUUCGAUCGAUCCAACAUCAUUUUUCGAUCGAUCGAACUGCUUUGUUCUUAUCUAAAUGAUUGAUCUUAUCUAGUUGUAUCACCCUACUAACCACUUUUGUCAUUUUCCCAAAAAUAUCUUCAAAAUAUCUCAGAUUUGUCUUAAUUCAAAAAGUACCACCAAUGAAGAUCGAUCCAGCCUAAGUUUGAUAGAUCUCAGCCAUGUUCGAUCGAUCCAAGUCCAAGGUUCGAUCGAUCGAACUUCCUCCGUGCUAAAAAGUUAAAUUUUCAGCUCAUUGAAAGUUGUCAUUUAUCCAAUCAUUGGGGAAUAUUGUAUACACGACCCCAGCUCAUUUUGGGUGCCAUUUGACUUACCUAUAUAAGGAUAAGGAUUGCUUUUUAUAAGAGGAGGACCUAAUACCACAUCAUACCAUCUCAUACCUUGUAGAUCUCUUGGAGAGCAAGCUUAGAGGAGGAGGAGGCUAGAGACACCAUUGGAGACUCUUCAUCAACUAAGGAACAAAUCUCUACCAUAAAGUUAGCCCUUGAAGGUUGGAGAAGCACUACCAUGAGUGGUUAGACAUCCUCUUGGGGCUAGAGUUAGCCCCAAGCAUGCUUUCUACAUCUUGCUUUUGUGUAUUAUUGAGGGAUUAGUGUUGUAAUACAUGUUUUGCACUUUUAUAUAUAUAUCUUGCUUAUUCAAUGAUU